rnacentral:rRNA from 1 species
ACGGGUGAGUAAUGCUUGGGAAUCUGGCUUAUGGAGGGGAAUAACUACGGAAAACUGUACCUAAUACCGCGUACUAUCGAAGGAUGAAGUGUGGGACCUUCGGGCCAUUUGCCAUCUCCACAACCCAAGUGGGAUUAGUUAGUUGGUGGGGGAGAGGCCCCCCCACCCGACGAUCUCUACCUGGUCUGAAAGGAUGACCAGCCACACUGGCACUGAGACAGAGCCCCGACUCCUACGGGAGGGAGCAGUGGGGAAUAUUGCGCAAUGGGGGUAACCCUGACUCAGCCAUGCCCCCUGAAUGAAUGAGGCCUUCGGUUUGUUAAGAUCUUUCUGUAUUGAGAAAGGAGUUUAAGUUAAUAGACUAGAUGAUUGACGUUAACUACACAAUAACCACCGGCUAACUCCGUGCCAGCAGCCGCGGUAAUACGGAGGGUGCGAGCGUUAAUCGGAAUAACUGGUCGUUGAGGGCACGCAGGCGGUGAUUUAAGUGAUGUGUGAGAGCCCCGGGCUUACCCUGCGAAUUGCAUUUUGUACUGAGUCUCUAUAGUACGUGAGGGAGGGGGUAAAAUUCCUCUUGUAUCUGUGAAAUGCGUAGAGAUGUAUAGGAAUACCUAAUGGGAAGGCGAUCCCCUUGUGACUGUUCUGACUCUCAUGGUGGAAAGCGAGGGGGAGCAAACCCGAAUAAAAUACCCCUGGUUAGUCCUAGCCGUUAACU